UACGGAGGGGUGCAAGCGUUGUCCGGAUUUAUUGGGUUUAAAGGGUGCGUAGGCGGCCCGUUAAGUCAGUGGUGAAAUGCCGUCCAGCUCAACUGGAGAACUGCCAUUGAUACUGGCGGGGCUUGAGUACAGACGAGGGUUGGCGGAAUUGAUUGUGUAGCGGUGAAAUGCAUAGAUACAAUCAAGAACACCGAUUGCGUAGGCAGCUAACUAGGCUGUAACUGACGCUGAGGCACGAAAGCGUGGGGAGCGAACAGGA
rnacentral:rRNA from 1 species